CCUGGUGGCUCAGAUGGGAAAGAAUCUGUCUGCAAUACAGGAGACCCAGGUUUGAUCCCUGGAACCAGGU
rnacentral:tRNA from 1 species